rnacentral:lncRNA from 1 species
AGCAUUGUCCAUUUAACACAGGUUUAUUUUAAAAAGAAAAAAAAAAAAAAAAAAAGAAACAGGUUACGUAUACCCAUUGCAGUUCAACAGAAAGUUCUCCUUCUUUCAAGUGGGUAGUGGCCUAAAAUGUCAGUAUGGACAGGAAGAUGUGCUGGAUUUAAUCACAGCCUAAUGAACUGUUCUUUUUACUGAAGAUGUAAUUGUCAGUACGUGCAGAAGUCUCAGGCAGACUUAGGUAAGGGAUUUUUAAUGAAGUCUAAAGAGGAGUACAACUUUCUGUAACACUCACUCCCAGGGUUCAUUCCUAAAACCCAAACAUGUUGCUUUAUAUUACUUUUUACUUUUUCAUCUUUGCAACUCACCUGAGCACCAUGGAGAGAAACCAGAAUCCCAAACCCAUGCAUCUUGUCUCAAGAGACUGGAGCCAUUGUUUUUAAACUGCUCACCUGCUAUUUUUACGGAUUUAUUUUAUUCUUAAAAAAUAUUUUCUCUCUUCAGUCUGAUGGAGCAAAUAUGUUUGACCUGACUGCUAAUAACACCUCCCUGUGCAUUCCCUUAGUCCCUAAGAAAGGGAGGCUGUGAUAUCACAUAUCAAAAUGUGCUCAGGUGUUGCCAACAGCUGAGUGACCUCGUGAGACACAAGGGCAAAGAUGACUCAGUUCUGCCUGGAUGGAUAAGGGAGCAGAAACCUACAGGCUGCAGGCUUCAUAGCUCCCACACAAGCACCCCACAGCCAAAACCAUCCGUGGGUCUGCUCUGAAGGUGAAGACCAGCCCAAAACGUGCUCAUCUUACGCCCAGAUUUCACACGGCCAAAAGCGAGCUGCUCCCUCGCUAGCGCAACACAUUGAAUUACUGCCACUAAAUGAAAACAAUCUGGUUGGUUUCCUCAUGAUCUGGGUUGGUUUUCCAGCACAGGCUCCAUGCCCUGGGUGGGGACAGCCCCUGGCUGUGUGUGCCCUUGGUGGGUGCCCAGCAGCCGAGGCCGUGGGCGCUCGCACACCCGUGGGGCUGCGUGCAGCCACUCGCUCUCCUCCGACCACGCAGGAGCUCCCACCCCAUGGCAACAGGGCACAAACAGCAGUGUUCUGGGUGGCUGUUUGCAGGUUGUGGCUGGCAGUUGCUAUGGGUGCCUGGCAGGCAGGUGAGAGAAGCCCUCCUGAGGGGCACUGCCAGCAGCUGGCUGCUCCUACCUGCCAGGCACGCAAGGUUUUCCUCCCACCCUUUGCACGGAGAGCCAAGGAGGAUGGAUGGACACAGACAGGGUCUAACCUGCAGCAAACUUUUGCUGAGGUGCCAGUGCUCUUGUCUCGACAACGUUCCAUUUGAGUGAACUUAUUCCAGGUUUACACCACCGCACUUUGAAGAGUGUAAGGCCUUAGAAAUCAAUGUCUGCUUUGUGUUCCUGUGACAAUGGCUUGCAGUUGCCAAAACCACAAUCCUUUUCCACAAUAUAAAUAAAAACUGGACAUGCACGGUUAAGAU